UGGGGAAUAUUGGGCAAUGGAGGCAACUCUGACCCAGCAACGCCGCGUGAGGGAAGAAGGUUUUCGGAUUGUAAACCUCUGUCCUUGGGGACGAAGAAAGUGACGGUACCCAAGGAGGAAGCCCCGGCUAACUACGUGCCAGCAGCCGCGGUAAUACGUAGGGGGCGAGCGUUGUCCGGAGUUACUGGGCGUAAAGGGUGCGUAGGCGGUUUUUUAAGUCAGAUGUGAAAUCCCCGGGCUUAACUCGGGUGGUGCAUUUGAAACUGGGAGACUAGAGUGCAGGAGAGGGAAGCGGAAUUCCUAGUGUAGCGGUGAAAUGCGUAGAUAUUAGGAGGAACACCAGUGGCGAAGGCGGCUUUCUGGACUGUAACUGACGCUGAGGCACGAAAGCGUGGGGAGCAAACAG
rnacentral:rRNA from 1 species